rnacentral:ncRNA from 1 species
CCAUACGCCUGCUCUAAAAGUGCCCGGGUAAACGUGCUCGGGAUAAUAGGGAAAUCGGUGAAAAUCCGAUGCAGCCCCCGCUACUGUGAGCGUGGAUGAAAUUGCAGCAAACCACCGGCCAGACAACCGGGAAGGUGCAAGAGUAAGAUGAAGCGCGAGCCAGGAGACCUGCUUUUAGAGCUUGUGUCGC